rnacentral:lncRNA from 1 species
UCCUUGCCCUCACCGGCCCCCUUCCCUAGCUCCCACGGCACGCCCCCAUCCACGCUAGGCCGCCCCCACCGAGUCCUCGUCGUCAGUCCUCCGUCUGUUCCUUCGAGGGCUGCUUGGCAUCUCGCUCAGUCUUCCGCUGCUGCCGCCCCCUCCUUCUCCACCCUCGUCUGCUCCUCCUCUUCGGCUAGCCGCUCGGUGUCCGUAAGCUCCCCACGGAGGCCCUCCAAACAGCCCCUUGCCCUGGGCUGUUCCAUCUUCCUGUUGGCCCCCCUCUUCCAACACUUAGCCCUCCUGAUCGCACUAGCUGAACAUCCAGUGGUAGACCUUUAGGGACGACCCUGCUUGCCCUCAGGCCCUUCUGAGUGUCUGUCCAGGGCUGGGGCUACAUAGCUCCUUUCCAUUCUUUGGGGGCAGCCUCUACUCCCAGGGCUGCCUGAUUUCCCUAGACCACUAAGAGUGGGGAGUUCUUGAGGUACUGCGAUUCUGCAGCUUAUGGACAUGGCCUUGGUUACCUGGGGCUCCUGGCUGGGGCCUGUGUACUGUAACCGCCUCCCCUGUUGGGGACUCGGAGCCUGUUUUCAUCUCUGCAGCUCUUUCUAACCUCAGAGGUGUCCAUCAAGCCCCUAUCUCAACCGCAGGUGAGAGGGUUUUUCUGUUUUGGACUAGUUUUUCUCCAUUUCUAACCACCUUCACCAUAUCCCUUGUAAUAAUGUUCAAGGACAAGCAAGCAAUCUUGUAUAUAUUUUUAAUUUAAUUUAAUUUUUCUGUCAUCUCUCCGCCUUCAAGCGUUAUUCACCCACAUACAAGGAAAACAGCCCCUGGUAGUUGGCUGAUCAGCCUUUUGACAUUGACGGAGUUACUGUCUGUACCCUCUUUAAAUAAGCUGGGACAGGGUCAAGCGGAUGGGGACAUCUUUUGCAAAGGCUGGGCACCACAGGUCUCUUAGAAUUGAGAACUGUCUUCUCAGAGCAGCUGGAGUGGGAGGGGAGCCUUGAGGUUGGAGAGGGUUGGGUUGCCCUCCAGGGCUCUGUGCAUUCCAUGUGUUUGGCAUGUCUCCCUUGCUCUUGAACCAGAGGAGCAGUGUUCACUAGUCACCACCAGAGCCGGAGGGGGGGCUUGAGAGUGGGAGGGUGCUUCAGCAGCCAGGGUGGGAACUGAGGGGGUGGAAGGCCUGAAGAAUUUGAGGUGGGGGGGACAUGAAGGAAUGGUCUAGAGACGCAGCCUACGGUAGGGGGAGAGGUAGGUAGAGGUGGUUACCAAGGAUGCUAGUUAGCUCAUGGGAGACACUGAAUGGAGUCACAUUAAUAAUGGCCAACUGUUACUUACCACUUCCAGGCUUGGUAUUUUGCAUGCAUUGUUUGACUUGAAACUCAUUUAAUACUUUUUUUUUUUUUUAAGCAGUAUGCCUUAGACUAGUCGCACAGCUCUGAAGUGACAGACCCAUUUAGUUGUUAGAUCUUACAAUAUCAGCUCCAGAGGCUCCUGGCACAGGCUACUACCAUGUGGCUAUCAUCUGGUUUAGUUUCUUCUGACCCCUCAAAACUCCUUUAGGGUGCACACCCAUUCCUAUGUCACAGGCUUUUGCAGGUCCCUCCCUGACUGUCCUGGAAGGGGCAACCCCAGGGAGUUUUCCUCUCAGUUACACCCCCCACCCCACAAGCAAUCAAGCCCAGUCUGUCCUCCCUGCCCAUCCUGGGCCGGCUCCUCCUUCCCCUUGGCUAGGCCCUGGAAAUCCAGUGGGAGGCCAUUGCUAUGGUAACAGGACUAGGCCCUGGCUUUACCUCAUCAAAUUCCAAGCUGAAGCCAAAACGAUUGAGAAAUUAAAGGGAAAAAAAUGU